rnacentral:rRNA from 1 species
GACGAACGCUGGCGGCGUGCUUAACACAUGCAAGUCGAACGGGCCUGCCCUUUUUUGGGUGGGUUGAGUGGCGAACGGGUGAGUAUCACGUGAGUAACCUGCCCCCUGCUCCUGGAUAACGCUCUGAAAGGGGUGCUAAUACGGGGUGUGCUGGUGCUGCCGCAUGGUGGUGCCGGGAUAGGUUCCCCUUUUUUUUGGGGGUCUGGGGGGGGAUGGGCUCGCGGCGUAUCCGCUUGUUGGUGGGGUGAUGGCCUACCAAGGCGGGGACGGGUAGCCGGCCUGAGAGGGUGGACGGCGACACUGGGACUGAGACACGGCCCAGACUCCUGCGGGAGGCAGCAGUGGGGGGUAUUGCGCAAUGGGCGGGAGCCUGACGCAGCGACGCGGCGUGGGGGACGGAGGCCUUGGGGUUGUGAACCUCUUGCGCCGGUGGAGAAGGCGCCCCCGUGUGGGGUGCUGACUGGAGCCGGGUGAAGAAGCGCCGGCUAACUACGUG